GAUUGCCGUGAUGAUAAUGUUUCUAAUCCCAGCUCUAUGAGACAUUCCUUUGUGGAAAGUCAGGGAUCAUAUUAGUUUAAACAUUUUCUGAGCCUAAAA